UCCUCCGAUCUCCCCCAGAAAAGCCCUCGCCGCCGCAUCGAACGCGCGCAUGGGCGCAAACGAUGCGCCGCCGGCGGCGGCGGGGUGGUAGUAUGGUCCGGCCGGCACGGAUGUCAGCGGCCCCAGAGUUCGCCGGCACAGCGCCAGAGAACACGCGUAGGUACGCGCACGCCCUCCCUCCAGCCAACCCCCGGAAGCACGAUCGCCUGGAGAAGCACUGUAGCGCUACUUUCUUGCUCGGUCACCGGCCGGAGAAUCUCGCGCGUGUUGCAUCUUGAACACAGAUGCAUCUUGUUGUUUACUGUAUUCUACGGUUUCUGGGUCUGGAUGGGAUAUCAUAGAAAAAACUCUGCGGGGCAAGCUUUUGGUGAUGUUGCAGGUGGAGUGGAUGGUGCAGGCGUGCGGUCUGCGUAUAGCAGACCCUGUGGAGCCGUACGUGGAGGUGAUUCGUGUACCCUGCCCUUUUGGUCCCAUCCACGGUGAGCCGAGUUGUAGCUCCUGCGGUCCUGCCUGCUUAUUAUGUGCAUCCUGGAUUAUUCUUUCUGGCUUUCUUAAUCGAAGUGACAGCUAACUAGACAAUUCCAUCCGUCGAGAAUGAGAAGUAAUAGCCUUAGCCUAUUUUAGCUUCAACCCAAACGCAACUUUGUUUCCCCAAUUGGGUAUCGAGAGAUGAUGCUAGUCAAUUUUGUGCAAAUGUACAAAACGACUUAUGUUGGUACAGGGUCACCUUACCCCUAUUCGCCUAAACACGUGAGUAGCAUGUUGGAGUAUUUCACAUAGUUAAGCAUGUUGAAAAAGCAUGUUGGAGUAUUCUACCUAUUAGCAUGUUGGAGUAUUCAACCUAGUGCCAUAUUGGAGUAUUCUACCUAGUUGCAUGUUGGGAUAUUCUACCUAGUUGCAUGUUAGAAUAUUCUACUUGCCAGUCAUAAGUUGUGGUGUGUAUACAUGUUGAUAUAGGGUCCUAUUUACCCUAUGCG